rnacentral:rRNA from 1 species
CCUACGGGAGGCAGCAGUGGGGAAUAUUGGGCAAUGGACGAAAGUCUGACCCAGCAACGCCGCGUGAAGGAAGAAGGUUUUCGGAUCGUAAACUUCUAUCCUUGGUGAAGAUAAUGACGGUAGCCAAGAAGGAAGCCCCGGCUAACUACGUGCCAGCAGCCGCGGUAAU